rnacentral:snRNA from 1 species
AUACCUUGGUCGGCCUUUUGGCUAAGAUCAAGUGUAGUAUUUGUUUUUAUCAGUUCAAUAUCUGAUACGUGGGCCAUCAGCCCACAUGAUAUUAAAUUAAUUUUUCUUGGGAGAAGACCCUUG